rnacentral:rRNA from 1 species
UCGGGAAUUUUGGGCAAUGGGCGAAAGCCUGACCCAGCAACGCCGCGUGAAGGAUGAAGUAUUUCGGUAUGUAAACUUCGAAAGAAUAGGAAGAAUAAAUGACGGUACUAUUUAUAAGGUCCGGCUAACUACGUGCCAGCAGCCGCGGUAAUACGUAGGGACCAAGCGUUGUUCGGAUUUACUGGGCGUAAAGGGCGCGUAGGCGGCAUGACAAGUCACUUGUGAAAUCUCUGGGAUUAACCCAGAACGGCCAAGUGAUACUGUCGCGCUAGAGUGCAGAAGGGGCAAUCGGAAUUCUUGGUGUAGCGGUGAAAUGCGUAGAUAUCAAGAGGAACACCUGAGGUGAAGACGGGUUGCUGGGCUGACACUGACGCUGAGGCGCGAAAGCCAGGGGGAGCAAACGGGAUUAGAUACCCCAGUAGUCCCUGAGCGGGCUGGCAAGGCGCAU